rnacentral:rRNA from 1 species
UACGAAGGGAGCUAGCGUUGUUCGGAAUCACUGGGCGUAAAGCGCACGUAGGCGGAUUUGUCAGUCAGGGGUGAAAUCCCGGGGCUCAACCUCGGAACUGCCUUUGAUACAGCAAGUCUUGAGUUCGAGAGAGGUGGGCGGAAUUCCUAGUGUAGCGGUGAAAUGCGCAGAUAUCAGGAGGAACACCGGUGGCGAAGGCGGGUCUCUGGGCCGAUACUGACGCUGAGGAGCGAAAGCGUGGGGAGCAAACAGG